UGGUCUGAAUUGUGAAUGGGGAGACAUGG
rnacentral:piRNA from 1 species